UCUUGGAUGAUGAAUCACAUUAGAUGAUCAGAACUAACUAUUGUAUAAAAAAUAUCCUUAUAAAUGCGAUUUGUUUAUUUAUUUUCCAUUUUGAUUCUGUUCGUGAACUACAAACCUAAACCAAAUGAUUUCCUGAGUUAGCAUUGAGUGCUUCGCUAAUGACCGUUACGCUGAAACCCUUCCUGCCGCCACACGGACCACUCGUGCUGAUUCCAUGGAUGAAUUACCAUCUCUUCCCUUUUACUCAACGCGUGCAGUUAAAAAAUUAAGGGUUUCCCCGACUGCAGUCACUCAAACCGCUGAGAACGAACACAGACAUCAGAGUUAACGCACACUACAGACAGAGGCUUUUGUGUUUUACUGUGGAGGAUCCAUCAUCAUCACCGUCAGUCAGUGAUCUGAGUUCAGCGCUGGGGGUAGAGAAGGUUAGAUUACAGGAAUCUGACUGUCUGCACCUCUUUUUUGAGAUUAGCUGGUUUAGCUGGUCCUGCUUCCCUAAACUGACACGGAUAUAAAUGCUUUCAUAAGUCUGAUUCAUAGUGAGGAUCCAUGAUGUAUUCCCAGAUGUGUCUUGCGCACUGUUGGUUUUUUCCAUAUUGGUUUUUAUUGGAUUUUCAUAUCCGCGAGGAACCUUUAACAUCCAUGGAAACUUUCCAUUACACAAAAGGUUGUACAGUAUAUAGUUAUUUACUCUAAGAAAAACAUGUUUCUUUUAAGACCUGGUCACUGAAAGGUUCUUUGUGGAACCAAAAUGUUUCUUCCAUGGCAUUGAUGAAAAAAAAAAUUAUAUUUUAUUUUUAAGAGUCUGUAUGAAGUGAGCAUGUUUCUGUGCCUCCAUUUAAAAUCCAUUCACCCCAAAACUUUGACCUCAUAAAGACAUUGUGAAAGUUUUUCAAGCUGUUGAAUCCAAGUCUUCUGGAUAGACAUGACUGCGUUAUAUAUUAUGAACAGAUUGAGCUAGGCUUUUAUCCACAUUGAUUAGCGCACCUACAUUGAGCAGCACAUCAAAUAUGGUAAGCUAAAUCUAAAUCAAACUUGCUUGAGAACAAGCCUCACUGGUACUUUGCAUCAAGCAAGCACGUUUGGGUUGUGGAUUGAUAUGUGCUGAAAAUCCUAAAUUAUCAUAUAAAGUGAUCAUGCCUCUUCACAAGACUUGUAGUGAACCUCAAUUUAUUUGGAUUGCUUC